rnacentral:rRNA from 1 species
AGCGCAUACGGUGGAUGCCUUGGCAGUCAGAGGCGAUGAAAGACGUGGUAGCCUGCGAUAAGCUUUGGGGAGUCGGCAAACAGACUGUGAUCCAGAGAUCUCUGAAUGGGGGAACCCACUCAGCAUAAGCUGAGUAUCUUGUACUGAAUACAUAGGUGCAAGAGGCGAACCAGGGGAACUGAAACAUCUAAGUACCCUGAGGAAAAGAAAUCAACCGAGAUUCCCUUAGUAGUGGCGAGCGAACGGGGACCAGCCCUUAAGUUGAUUUGAGAUUAGUGGAACGCUCUGGAAAGUGCGGCCAUAGUGGGUGAUAGCCCCGUACACGAAAAUCUCUUGUCAAUGAAAUCGAGUAGGACGGAGCACGAGAAACUUUGUCUGAAUAUGGGGGGACCAUCCUCCAAGGCUAAAUACUACUGACUGACCGAUAGUGAACCAGUACCGUGAGGGAAAGGCGAAAAGAACCCCGGAGAGGGGAGUGAAAUAGAACCUGAAACCGUAUGCGUACAAGCAGUGGGAGCCUACUUGUUAGGUGACUGCGUACCUUUUGUAUAAUGGGUCAGCGACUUAUAUUCAGUGGCGAGCUUAACCGAAUAGGGGAGGCGUAGCGAAAGCGAGUCUUAAUAGGGCGUUUAGUCGCUGGGUAUAGACCCGAAACCGGGCGAUCUAUCCAUGGGCAGGUUGAAGGUUAGGUAACACUGACUGGAGGACCGAACCGACUACCGUUGAAAAGUUAGCGGAUGACCUGUGGAUCGGAGUGAAAGGCUAAUCAAGCUCGGAGAUAGCUGGUUCUCCUCGAAAGCUAUUUAGGUAGCGCCUCAUGUAUCACUCCAGGGGGUAGAGCACUGUUUCGGCUAGGGGGUCAUCCCGACUUACCAAACCGAUGCAAACUCCGAAUACCUGGAAGUGCCGAGCAUGGGAGACACACGGCGGGUGCUAACGUCCGUCGUGAAAAGGGAAACAACCCAGACCGUCAGCUAAGGUCCCAAAGUCAUGGUUAAGUGGGAAACGAUGUGGGAAGGCUUAGACAGCUAGGAGGUUGGCUUAGAAGCAGCCACCCUUUAAAGAAAGCGUAAUAGCUCACUAGUCGAGUCGGCCUGCGCGGAAGAUGUAACGGGGCUCAAACCAUGCACCGAAGCUACGGGUGUCAUCUUUGAUGACGCGGUAGAGGAGCGUUCUGUAAGCCUGUGAAGGUGAGUUGAGAAGCUUGCUGGAGGUAUCAGAAGUGCGAAUGCUGACAUGAGUAACGACAAUGCGAGUGAAAAACUCGCACGCCGAAAGACCAAGGUUUCCUGCGCAACGUUAAUCGACGCAGGGUUAGUCGGUCCCUAAGGCGAGGCUGAAAAGCGUAGUCGAUGGAAAACAGGUUAAUAUUCCUGUACUUCCAGUUAUUGCGAUGGAGGGACGGAGAAGGUUAGGCCAGCCUGGCGUUGGUUGUCCAGGUUUAAGGUGGUAGGCUGAAAUCUUAGGCAAAUCCGGGAUUUCAAGGCCGAGAGCUGAUGACGAGUUGCCUUUAGGCGACGAAGUGGUUGAUACCAUGCUUCCAAGAAAAGCUCCUAAGCUUCAGAUAACUGGGAACCGUACCCCAAACCGACACAGGUGGUUAGGUAGAGAAUACCAAGGCGCUUGAGAGAACUCGGGUGAAGGAACUAGGCAAAAUGGCACCGUAACUUCGGGAGAAGGUGCGCCGGCGAGGGUGAAGGACUUGCUCCGUAAGCCCAUGCCGGUCGAAGAUACCAGGCCGCUGCGACUGUUUAUUAAAAACACAGCACUCUGCAAACACGAAAGUGGACGUAUAGGGUGUGACGCCUGCCCGGUGCCGGAAGGUUAAUUGAUGGGGUUAGCGCAAGCGAAGCUCUUGAUCGAAGCCCCGGUAAACGGCGGCCGUAACUAUAACGGUCCUAAGGUAGCGAAAUUCCUUGUCGGGUAAGUUCCGACCUGCACGAAUGGCGUAACGAUGGCGGCGCUGUCUCCACCCGAGACUCAGUGAAAUUGAAAUCGCUGUGAAGAUGCAGUGUAUCCGCGGCUAGACGGAAAGACCCCGUGAACCUUUACUAUAGCUUUGCACUGGACUUUGAAUUUGCUUGUGUAGGAUAGGUGGGAGGCUUUGAAGUGGGGACGCCAGUUCUCAUGGAGCCAUCCUUGAAAUACCACCCUGGCAACUUUGAGGUUCUAACUCAGGUCCGUUAUCCGGAUCGAGGACAGUGUAUGGUGGGUAGUUUGACUGGGGCGGUCUCCUCCCAAAGAGUAACGGAGGAGUACGAAGGUGCGCUCAGACCGGUCGGAAAUCGGUCGUAGAGUAUAAAGGCAAAAGCGCGCUUGACUGCGAGACAAACACGUCGAGCAGGUACGAAAGUAGGUCUUAGUGAUCCGGUGGUUCUGUAUGGAAGGGCCAUCGCUCAACGGAUAAAAGGUACUCCGGGGAUAACAGGCUGAUACCGCCCAAGAGUUCAUAUCGACGGCGGUGUUUGGCACCUCGAUGUCGGCUCAUCACAUCCUGGGGCUGAAGCCGGUCCCAAGGGUAUGGCUGUUCGCCAUUUAAAGUGGUACGCGAGCUGGGUUUAGAACGUCGUGAGACAGUUCGGUCCCUAUCUGCCGUGGACGUUUGAGAUUUGAGAGGGGCUGCUCCUAGUACGAGAGGACCGGAGUGGACGAACCUCUGGUGUUCCGGUUGUCACGCCAGUGGCAUUGCCGGGUAGCUAUGUUCGGAAGAGAUAACCGCUGAAAGCAUCUAAGCGGGAAACUUGCCUCAAGAUGAGAUCUCACUGGGAUCUUGA